rnacentral:rRNA from 1 species
UACGUAGGGACCUAGCGUUGUUCGGAAUUACUGGGCGUAAAGGGCGCGUAGGCGGCCUGGUCAGUCGGAUGUGAAAGCCCGGGGCUCAACCCCGGAACGGCAUCCGAGACGGCCAGGCUGGAGACCGGGAGAGGAGAGUGGAAUAGCCAGUGUAGAGGUGAAAUUCGUAGAUAUUGGCUGGAACACCGGUGGCGAAAGCGGCUCUCUGGCCCGGUUCUGACGCUGAGGCGCGAAAGCGUGGGGAGCAAACAGG